CAGUAGCCACGGGAACACGAAGGGGGCUAGCGUUGUUCGGAUUUACUGGGCGUAAAGCGCACGUAGGCGGAUCGAUCAGUCAGGGGUGAAAUCCCAGAGCUCAACUCUGGAACUGCCUUUGAUACUGUCGAUCUGGAGUAUGGAAGAGGUGAGUGGAAUUCCGAGUGUAGAGGUGAAAUUCGUAGAUAUUCGGAGGAACACCAGUGGCGAAGGCGGCUCACUGGUCCAUUACUGACGCUGAGGUGCGAAAGCGUGGGGAUCAAACAGGAUUAGAUACCCCCGUAGUCCCUGUCUCUUAUAC
rnacentral:rRNA from 1 species